AACGAACGCUGGCGGCAUGCCUAACACAUGCAAGUCGAACGAGACCUUCGGGUCUAGUGGCGCACGGGUGCGUAACGCGUGGGAAUCUGCCCUCUGGUACGGAAUAACUCAGGGAAACUUGAGCUAAUACCGUAUAAUGACUUCGGUCCAAAGAUUUAUCGCCUGAGGAUGAGCCCGCGUCGGAUUAGCUAGUUGGUGAGGUAAAAGCUCACCAAGGCGACGAUCCGUAGCUGGUCUGAGAGGAUGAUCAGCCACACUGGGAAUGAGACAAGGGCCAGACUCCUACAGGAGGCAGCAGUAGGGAAUAUUGGACAAUGGGCGCGAGCCUGAUCCAGCCAUGCCGCGUGAGUGAUGAAGGCCUUAGGGUUGUAAAGCUCUUUCAGUAGGGAAGAUAAUGACGGUACCUACAGAAGAAGCCCCGGCUAACUUCGUGCCAGCCGCCGCUGUAACAC
rnacentral:rRNA from 1 species